rnacentral:rRNA from 1 species
UGGGGAAUAUUGCACAAUGGGCGAAAGCCUGAUGCAGCAACGCCGCGUGAAGGAUGAAGGCCUUUGGGUCGUAAACUUCUGUCCUUGGGGAAGAAAAAAAUGACGGUACCCCUGGAGGAAGUCCCGGCUAACUACGUGCCAGCAGCCGCGGUAAUACGUAGGGGGCGAGCGUUAUCCGGAAUUCUUGGGCGUAUAGAGUACGUAGGUGGUUUUUUAAGCGCAGGGUUUAAGGCGAUGGCUCAACUGUCGUGUGCCCUGGAAACUGGAAGACUUGAGUACAGGAGAGGAAAGCGGAAUUCCUAGUGUAGCGGUGAAAUGCAUAGAUAUUAGGAGGAACACCAGUGGCGAAGGCGGCUUUCUGGACUGUAACUGACACUGAGGUACGAAAGCGUGGGGAGCAAACA